rnacentral:rRNA from 1 species
GUGAGGAAUAUUGGUCAAUGGGCGCGAGCCUGAACCAGCCAAGUAGCGUGAAGGAUGACUGCCCUACGGGUUGUAAACUUCUUUUAUAAAGGAAUAAAGUGAGGCACGUGUGCCUUUUUGUAUGUACUUUAUGAAUAAGGAUCGGCUAACUCCGUGCCAGCAGCCGCGGUAAUACGGAGGAUCCGAGCGUUAUCCGGAUUUAUUGGGUUUAAAGGGAGCGUAGGCGGACGCUUAAGUCAGUUGUGAAAGUUUGCGGCUCAACCGUAAAAUUGCAGUUGAUACUGGGUGUCUUGAGUACAGUAGAGGCAGGCGGAAUUCGUGGUGUAGCGGUGAAAUGCUUAGAUAUCACGAAGAACUCCGAUUGCGAAGGCAGCCUACUAAACUGCCACUGACAUUGAUGCUCGAAAGUGUGGGUAUCAAACAGG